rnacentral:rRNA from 1 species
GAUGAACGCUAGCGGCAGGCUUAAUACAUGCAAGUCGAGGGGUAACAGGUCUGUAGCAAUACAGAUGCUGACGACCGGCAAACGGGUGCGGAACACGUACAGAACCUUCCUUCGAGUGGGAGAUAGCCCAGGGAAACUUGGAGUAAUAUCCCAUAGGAUCAUAGAGUGGCAUCAUUUAGUGAUUAAAGAUUUAUCGCUUGAAGAUGGCUGUGCGGCUGAUUAGGUAGUUGGUGUAGGUAACGGCUCACCAAGCCUUCGAUCAGUAACUGGUGUGAGAGAACGACCAGUCACACGGGCACUGAGACACGGGCCCGACUCAUACGGGAGGCAGCAGUAAGGAAUAUUGGGCAAUGGAGGCAACUCCGACCCAGCCAUGCCGCGUGGAGGAUGAAGGUCCUCUGGAUUGUAAACUUCUUUUAUUUGGGAAGAAAUGCCAAUUUUCUAAUUGGUUUGACGGUACCAGAUGAAUAAGCACCGGCUAACUCCGUGCCAGCCGCCGCAGUAAAAC